rnacentral:rRNA from 1 species
CCUACGGGAGGCAGCAGUGGGGAAUAUUGGGCAAUGGGCGCAAGCCUGACCCAGCAACGCCGCGUGAAGGAAGAAGGCUUUCGGGUUGUAAACUUCUAUUAAGAGGGAAGAGCAGAAGACGGUACCUCUUGAAUAAGCCACGGCUAACGACGGGCCAGCAGCCGCGGUAAUACGUAGGUGGCAAGCGUUGUCCGGAUUUACUGGGUGGAAAGGGCGUGCAGCCGGGAAGACAAGUCAGAUGUGAAAUCCCGCGGCUCAACCGCGGAACGGCAUUGGAAACUGUUUUUCUUGAGUACCGGAGACGUCAUCUGAAUUCCUUGUGUCGCGGUGCAAUGCGUAGAUAUACGG